AAACACCAUCUCUACAAAAAAUUAAAAAAAAAAAAAUUAGCUGGACAUGGGUGGCAUGUGCCUGUAGUCCCAGCUACUUGAGGGGGCUGAGGUGGGAGGAUCGCUUGAGCCCAGGAGGUCAAGGCUGCAGUAAGCCAUGUUUGUGCCACUGCACUCCAGCCUGGGUGACAAAAGUGAAGCCCUGUCUCAACAAAUAAAAAUAAAAACCACCUCUGCUUUGCUCACCUCCUCCCUUAAUAAAACAUGUAUAGAAGACUUUGAGCUCAAUGGAUUACAUAUGCAUCGUACUCAGAUAUUUUACAAAGAACAUGA
rnacentral:lncRNA from 10 species